GAUGAACGCUGGCUACAGGCUUAACACAUGCAAGUCGAGGGGAAACGACGGGGAAGCUUGCUUCCCCGGGCGUCGACCGGCGCACGGGUGAGUAACGCGUAUCCAACCUGCCUCUGACUGAGGGAUAACCCGUCGAAAGUCGGCCUAAUACCUCAUGGCAUCGUCUGCGGGCAUCCAACGACGAUUAAAGAUUUCAUCGGUCAGGGAUGGGGAUGCGUCUGAUUAGCUUGUUGGCGGGGUAACGGCCCACCAAGGCUACGGUCAGUAGGGGUUCUGAGAGGAAGGUCCCACACAUUGGAACUGAGACACGGUCCAAACUCCUAAGGGAGGAAGCAGUGAGGAAUAUUGGUCAAUGGGCGGGAGCCUGAACCAGCCAAGUAGCGUGCAGGAUGACGGCCGUAUGGGUUGUAAACUGCUUUUAUGCGGGGAUAAAGUGAGGGACGUGUCCUUCAUUGCAGGUACCGCAUGAAUAAGGACCGGCUAAUUCCGUG
rnacentral:rRNA from 1 species